UAAAACCCGGAUCUCAAUGGCAGCUGGAGGUCUCCUGGUGAUCUUGGCAUCCCUUCCAAUCCAGGAUUGCUGCCUGUUGUCCCCCUCAGCCACUCAUCUCCUCCACAUGGUGAAUACUAAGCCUCUGCCCAGCCUGGGGUCUGCUCCAGGAAGCAGGCUGCCAGCUCCACCUGCCAAUCGCAAAGCUCCCCAGCACUCAGCCAGUCUCAGUUUCCGGCACUGGCUCCAUGCCUCAAGUGACUGCACUGCUGGAUGCCAGAGGAAGAAGAAGGAUCUGGGGGCUGCCUGGUGUCCCGCUCCAUAGCAGCUCAUGCCCUGCACCCUGGAUGAAGGAAUCGAAACUUGGAGAAGUUAGAUGACUCAACUCUCAUCUGUCUGCUGCUCGCGUUUACUCCUAAACUUCCUGGACGGCUCCACAGGUGAACAAAUUCUCAAUGCUGAUAAUUAUAGGAUCAAGAUACCCAGGGCUGGAGAUGGUCAAGCGUUCAAGAGUUCAUACUGUUCUUGCACGGUUCCUGAGUCUGAUUCCCAGCAUCCAUGCCAGGAGUUUCACAACUGCCUGGAAAUCCAGCUCCAUGGGAUCUGACACCCUCUUCUGACCUCCUGAGGGUACUGCAUUCACGUGCACAAACCCAUACAAAGAUAUACACAUAAUUAAAAAACAGAAUAAAAGUAUCUACCAAUCCAAAAACCACUGAAGACUCUGUGCCCUUCAGUCUGGUAUCAAACAUUCAUAUCUUAUGUAAAACUAAAACCAUCUGUUUCGUUAGUGUGAAAAUUUGUUUUUGUCUUUAGUA